GCGCGAAAACUUUGCAAUGUGCGAAAGCACGACAAGGUUAAUCCGAGUGUUUCCUGCUAAAGGAAUCUUUUGUCGAUCCUAAAAACACCGAUGAAUAAGGGGUGGGCAAGUUCUGGUGUCAGCCGCCGCGGUAAAACCAGCACCUCAAGUGGUCAGGAGGAUUAUUGGGCCUAAAGCAUCCGUAGCCGGCUGUGUUAGUCUCCGGUUAAAUCCAUAUGCUUAACAUAUGGGCUGCCGGAGAUACUGCACAGCUAGGGAGUGGGAGAGGUAGACGGUACUUGGUAGGAAGGGGUAAAAUCCUUUAAUCUACUGAUGACCACCUGUGGCGAAGGCGGUCUACUAGAACACGUCCGACGGUGAGGGAUGAAAGCUGGGGGAGCAAACCGGAUUAGAUACCCGGGUAGUCCCAGCUGUAAACAAUGCAAACUCAGUGAUGCGCUGGCUUGUGGCCAGCGCAGUGCCGCAGGGAAGCCGUUAAGUUUGCCGCCUGGGAAGUACGUACGCAAGUAUGAAACUUAA
rnacentral:rRNA from 1 species